AUGGUAGGAUAGAGGCCUACCAUGGUUUUAACGGGUAACGGGGAAUUAGGGUUCGAUUCCGGAGAGGGAGCCUGAGAAACGGCUACCACAUCCAAGGAAGGCAGCAGGCGCGCAAAUUACCCAAUCCCGACACGGGGAGGUAGUGACAAUAAAUAACAAUAUGGGGCUCUUACGAGUCUUGUAAUUGGAAUGAGUACAAUUUAAAUCUCUUAACGAGGAACAAUUGGAGGGCAAGUCUGGUGCCAGCAGCCGCGGUAAUUCCAGCUCCAAUAGCGUAUAUUAAAGUUGUUGCAGUUAAAAAGCUCGUAGUUGAAUUUCGGGAUUUAUCCGUCGGUCGGGCUUUUGGGUCUGUACUGGCGUGAUGGAUUCCUACCUUCUGAAUAACCGGCAUGUCAUUAAUUUGGUGCGCCGGGGAAGCAGGACUGUUACCUUGGAAAAAUUAGAGUGCUUAAAGCAGGCUUAUGCCUGAAUACAUUAGCAUGGAAUAAUGAAAUAGGACGGCAUGGUUCUAUUUUGUUGGUUUCUAGGAUCACCGUAAUGAUUAAUAGGGAUAGUUGGGGGCAUUAGUAUUCAAUUGUCAGAGGUGAAAUUCUUGGAUUUAUUGAAGACUAACUUCUGCGAAAGCAUUUGCCAAGGAUGUUUUCAUUAAUCAAGAACGAAAGUUAGGGGAUCGAAGACGAUCAGAUACCGUCGUAGUCUUAACCAUAAACUAUGCCGACUAGGGAUCGGACGAUGUUAAUUUUUUAAUGACUCGUUCGGCGCCUUACGGGAAACCAAAGUGUUUGGG
rnacentral:rRNA from 1 species